rnacentral:rRNA from 1 species
GACGAACGCUGGCGGCGUGCUUAACACAUGCAAGUCGAACGGAAAGGCCCCUUUGGGGGUACUCGAGUGGCGAACGGGUGAGUAACACGUGAGUAACCUGCCCUUGACUUCGGGAUAACUUCAGGAAACUGGGGCUAAUACCGGAUAGGAAUCCUUGCUGCAUGGUGGGGGUUGGAAAGCUUCGGCGGUUUUGGAUGGACUCGCGGCUUAUCAGCUUGUUGGUGGGGUAGUGGCUUACCAAGGCUUUGACGGGUAGCCGGCCUGAGAGGGCGACCGGCCACAUUGGGACUGAGAUACGGCCCAGACUCCUACGGGAGGCAGCAGUGGGGAAUAUUGCACAAUGGGCGGAAGCCUGAUGCAGCAACGCCGCGGGCGGGAUGACGGCCUUCGGGUUGUAAAACGCUUUCAGCAGGGGCGAAGCUUGUGGUGACGGUACCUGCAGAAGAAGCACCGGCUAACUACGUG